GACGUAGGGCGCGAGCGUUGUCCGGAUUUAUUGGGCGUAAAGAGCUCGUAGGCGGCUUGUUGCGUCGACUGUGAAAACCCCGCGGCUCAACCGCGUGGCUUGCAGUCGAUACGGGCAGGCUAGAAUUCGGUAGGGGAGACUGGAAUUCCUGGUGUAGCGGUGAAAUGCGCAGAUAUCAGGAGGAACACCGGUGGCGAAGGCGGGUCUCUGGGCCGAUAUUGACGCUGAGGAGCGAAAGCGUGGGGAGCGAACAGG
rnacentral:rRNA from 1 species